rnacentral:lncRNA from 1 species
UCCCCCGCCUAUUCAAAAAACACGAAGGGUAGCAUUGUUCUAGACUUCUAGUUGUUUCUUUUUCAUUUUUCGAGCAAAGGAAAAAAGAAGCAGAUCUUUCUUUUCCCCUAACAAACAACCACCAAAUGCAACAAAAAACACCAGCAAAGCCCACUCAAAUUUGCGAUUUCCAGCAGUAAAAUGAGUCAGCAGGAGAGAGAGAGAGAGAGGCAGUUGUUUCGCUCUUGUUCUUCACUCGACAAACACACGACACUCUCACAAAAAAGGGACUGAGAUUUGGAAUAAGAGGCUCCCCGUUUAUUUCUUUUUUCAAAGCAGAACUCAGAUUCAAAGUGUUCUUCGAUUCUGCUGAGCUCCGCCUUUCAUCACGUAGCUUCUGUCUGAUUUUUCCAAGCUAAUUCCUGUACAGUCAGGUACCCAUCUAAACCUGCACUUUGGAAUUUGUUCUUAUAAUGAAAUCGCAUAUGCCUUCGCUAGUUUGUUAGUAUCUGAUUUGUUGUUUGUUUGUCUUGGGAUUACUCUAUUAUGAUAAGAUAAUUUAAUCGUUAGUUAGUUAGUUAAAGUUUUGCUACUUGUUUUCAGAUUUCCAUCAUCAUGCAAAAACUGCCUAAUGAACCUAAGUGAUUUAAUUCAGUUGUAUGAACCUGUGAUCCUAAGUAAUUGUGCUUAAUCUCCCCUGAAAUCACUUUCGUGCUUAUGUGACCUACUGAUUCUCUUGGUAAACUAGAUCUGGAAGUCAAAAUCUUGUUAGCCACAAAUUAGUAUCAUUGGUGAUUACAUAAUCGUGUUCAUUUGUGGUUAGGCGGCGUAAUAAGUUUUAUAGGAACGUUCUAAAUUUUUGGACGUUAUUUCUAUAUAUUUUGGACCUGAUAACUAGACGGGUAACACCCACGCAAGGUUGAGUUAAAUAAAAUAGCCCAAGACGUUCUAGCUAAUAUAUAUCAUUUUGUUAGUCUAGUGUACAAGUUCUUUUGUUAACAAUCUCAAACCUUACAAAAAAUAUUUUGUAAGUUGUUUUAGGCAUGUAAUUAAAUCAUUAUAACUGCGAAUACGGUUCCCGUGGUAUAGUUGUGAUACCUAAUUUCAAAUUAGAUUUAAACAGGAGCAUCAUUAGAUUUCUUUAGUGAAAUAUAAAUCUUUUAGAAUAAAUUGAGAGGUGCCAUCCACAAAUGAAUUCUCUAAUCUAUGGCCCUCACAUAAAUACAAAAUUACUGUAGAUUUCUUUAAGUGCGUUUAUAAUAAAAUCACCAAAGUUAUGGGUAUGAUUUCCGUGACAUAAUUGUAAUACCUAAUUUCCAAGUGUGGGUUACAUUUAUGUGACCCGGCCACAACAACUAAUAGUAUUAAUAAUUAAACAUGUUAUGAAUCGCGGAUACGAUUCUCGUGACAUGUUUCGUAAUGUGUAUCAAACAAAUAAGUGUACGACAAUCGUAACUUGUUCCGAAUUAAUUCCAUAAAAAUAAUUAAAAGCGAUUAUAAAGCAAAAAUGCAUAGUAGGUUAAAACAUGUAGUAACUCAUAUAAUAGGCCAAUUAUUAAUAAUUUAAGCAACUGUGCUAGGACCACGAAAUCUGAGAAUGCCUAGCACCGUCUCCCGGGUUAACAGAAUUCCUUACUUUAAAUUUCUGGUUCGCACACUUUUCAAAUAAUGUAAAAAUUUUCUCUAUUUGAAAUUUAAACAUAAAUCAGUGACUUAGAACACCAUAAAUUAUUCCAAAUGACAACUCUGAAAAAUUAAUUCAAAUAAUCACAUUUUAAAUAAUAUCACUUUAAUUGAAAAAAAAACUCUGUUAUACACCUCCCUCGGGUGGUAAAAGGAGGUGUGACAAACUGGUAGACCCCAAAAAUCCAAAACAUAUACAAUUCAAUUUCCUUGGACAUUGAGGCAUCUUAAAUUGCCUUAACAUAAUAUUAGUCAAAUUUUUAUAAUUCUCUACGUCUCCCCCUAAACAAAAUUAUCCUCUAAAACCGACAAAUAAAAUCCAAUUCAGGUGGUCUUGAAGAAUAAGUAUUCAAUAACUAGGGAAGAUUAUUCGAAGAUAGAGAGCAAUUGGAUGACGUAGUCUCGAACUCCCCUAGGCCUAUUGUGUUUUGUUCUUUGCCGUUGUGCUACGUAUACAUGUACAAGGAAUAUUCAAUAUUCAUCUACUCAUGAACUCAACAACAAAGGCACUGAUUGCAGCACCUGCGGAAGGUAUAGAAUUUGCAUUCACUAUGAAAUUUCAGCAUUCACUAUAAUAUCCGUCCAAUUUGAGCGCCAGCAACAAUCCUCCAUAUUUCUCUAGAACAAGCUGUAAAUACAUCUGGGAGGUUAUUAAGUAAAAGCAUAUACAUUUUCUAGAAUUUAAAAGAAUAAAAAUGAAAGUAAAGAUUAUACUGAAGCUCUUCUGGUGUCUUUGUAGUCAUGGUAGAAAGGGAAUUCAUAUACUAGCAAUUGGAUGACGUAUCUCAAACCAACCAUGAUCGUCCUAUAGUAACUUACUCGCACUAUGCUUGCACCACAUAAACUGUAUUCCUGACAAAAUUUAACUCUUACAUUUGUUCUGUUUGAACGAUACAUCCGACAUUAUAAUCUAAACUUUCCACAACUGUCAAUUGUUACCAAUAAUUAAAGAACUCAGGAAGCACAAAAAAAUUCCAAAACAUGUUACAACAAACAUCCUCGGCUUCUAAUGAUGUCUCAAGGGAAUAUAAGGCUUCUCUAAACAGGGAUAAGGCUCCAAUUUGGACAAGGGCAUACUUAAUAACCAUAUAGGACCUUCUUUAAAAAAUUACACAAGGUGAUGAAAAAGAAAAGGCCUAACUAUGGUAAACCGAAAAGGUCGUUUACCCUUAACAAAUUAAACAAAGUAAAAGUUGCUACUGAACCUAUUCAAACAUCUAAAAUUAUUCAGACCCUCAUCAUUUCCAUUUCCUAGUUACUGGAGAAAAAGAAACAAAUUCUAGCUACUAAUAGUGAUGCCUAAGAUACUUGCAAAGGCAAUAGAGGAGCGCAACCCACAUGUAGGAUUAUCCAAUUUUCACUUACAGGAGUUUGUCCUCAAGCAGAUUAACAACCAUGGCUAUCUACUGUUGCACUAUCAUUUCAAGCUCUGACUUAUCUGAAGAUAUCGAAAAUCUUACUUACCUAAGUAGCUUUGAGAAUAACAUUGUUUAUGUCACCUACUAAAGACCUGUCACGCAAUGUUAAUCUUAUCUGCUAAGUAGAAAAACUUAGCGAAAUGUAAACGCAUUGGUACAGAGCACAUUGGCACAUUAGAGGAGCUUAUUGCAGAAUAAACACUGCAACAAUAUCAGCAACCCUAUUUCAAACGAGAGAUAUUGCAAUAAAAAGAUGAUACACACAACAAGAAUAAAUGACAGGAAACACCUCUAUUAAUGAGCACCAACCUAUAAGUUUGAGAAAGAACUCGCAAGUUGUUUAACUUGUGCUUCAGCCCCAUUCACCCAAGAGGAAAUGAGAUGAUGAGCAAUUGCAAAGGGCCCAGGGAUAAACAUAGGAGCAAGUUCCCCACUUUCCACAUUGAAAUCUGAAGACAAGCUCUGUCCUCUUUCUACACCCUUGCACAUUUGGUCCACUUUACCUGCGGCAGUCCUUUGUGCCUUCUUGUAUUCAGUAAAUGUCAGCGCCUUUUUAACAUCUUCUCUGCCGUGCCAUUUAGCAUCUGCAUCACAGGUUGAUUCACCGUCACAAAAAGAAAGAAAAUGACGAUAAUCAAAAUAUAAGGUGGAAACCACACAUAAUAAGUCAAGGGGCCAAUGAUAAAUUCUAGAGACCUACCAUCUGAAUUCUUUUCCAAGAGUCCCUGUUUUACCCCACNNNNNNNNNNNNNNNNNNNNNNNNNNNNNNNNNNNNNNNNNNNNNNNNNNNNNNNNNNNNNNNNNNNNNNNNNNNNNNNNNNNNNNNNNNNNNNNNNNNNNNNNNNNNNNNNNNNNNNNNNNNNNNNNNNNNNNNNNNNNNNNNNNNNNNNNNNNNNNNNNNNNNNNNNNNNNNNNNNNNNNNNNNNNNNNNNNNNNNNNNNNNNNNNNNNNNNNNNNNNNNNNNNNNNNNNNNNNNNNNNNNNNNNNNNNNNNNNNNCACCCCCACCCCUUCCCCUGCCCCACCCAAAAAAAAAUGAGAGGGGGCUCUGUGGGAGGGGAAUUUUCCUUCGAACCUUUGAGAAGAAAAUCAAUCAUAAUAAAAGAUUUUUAAGUUACCUUCUAAUUCCACCUUAUCCACAUUAAUAUCCAGCGAUUUUGCAUACGCAAAGAAUCCCACCAUAAGCUGGCACGGCAUGCUGCUAGGUCCAACUGCAAAUGAACCAUACAGUUCGUCCAUAAUCACAAAAGGAAAAGAAAAAUGGCAUGCAAGAAAUAUAUAAAUACACACAUACAAAAAAGAAAAUUAUAUAUAUACUAACUAGUGAGAAAAAAGAAACCUCUAAAGACCCAUUUCAUGAAGCACUGAUUGGCGCACAAUCAGAUCAACAAUGGUUAAAGGGAAAGGAAAGUUAAUAUGCAUCUCCCGUUAAUCCAUCCAUCAAUAUGCAUCACACCUCUAAGAAAGGGUAUGGAAAAGAUUAAGCCACUUUAUUCACAGAGUGAAGCAGGAACAACUGAUGGCGAGAUCUUAGAGUGAAUAUGGCAUGUAUGGCGAGAACAGCCAUCGGCUAGUCGCUGAAAGCACCAUGCAGAAAAGAUUAUAAACUAAUAGCAACUUUUGUCAACUUGUGUCAAUUAUUAAAAAAAGGGUCCAAUCAGACAUGAAAAUAUAACAUUUAUAUACUGAAUGUAGAAUUUAUCAUUAGUACAAAAUUCAUACUCCCUCACUCCUAUUUUGUGUAAAGGUGUUUGACUGGCACAAACUUUAAGAAAUAAAGAAAGACUUUUGAAACUUGAGGUCUAAAAUAAACCAAGAAAAGUCUAACUAGAUAUCAUCAUGUUAAGGGUAAAAGAAGAAUUUUAAAGUUGAAUUGUUACUAAACAUAGAAAUGUGUCAUUCUUUUGGGACUCACUAAAAAGGAAAGAGUGUCACAUAAUUGGGAUGGAGGAAAUAUAUGUUUUGCAUUUUCUAAAAAUUUUCUUAAAUUUUGUGUGAUUCACUUCUCUCUUUUCGUUUCAAGCUCCACGGACCUGGUUGCUUUUUAACGCUUCCUUCUUAAGAAUAACUGAUUCCAGAAUUACUUUACAUCAUAAAAAGCAAUGUGUUUAAAAUUAUAUAAAAUAAAACGUGCCAAAAAAAUGCACGGGAACAGACACCGUACAUCUGUUUCCAAGAACAUUACCGGGCCAUGGCUGAGAACUAUGGUACACAACUUGUCCAACUUCAAUACCAGUCUCCUCCCAUGUUUCUCUUCUCACAGCCUCUUCCAAACUUUCUCCUGGCUAGUAACAAAUUGAGAAAGUAAUUAACAUGUAUUGAGAUAUACAUUGUGAGUGACGGGAUAGAAAAUCAAUGCCUGCUGAUUACCCGGGACAGAAACCAACCCAGAAACAGAAAAAAAUUGUGAGUGACGGGAUCGAAAAUCAAUGCCUGCUGAUUACCCGGGACGGCAAACCAACACGGAAAAAAAAAAAAGAGAAGCCGAAAUACUAUGCAGGAAAUUGAAAUACUCCCUCCAUUCCAUAUUCUAUGACAAUGUUUUCUUUUUUUUUUUGUUCCAACAAAUUGACACAAUUUCUUUUUUUUACGAUUUGAGCCGAGGGUCGAUUGGAAACAGCCUCUCUGCCCUUUCAGGUAGGGGUAAGGCCCGUCUACAUAUUACCCUUCCCAGACCCCACUUUGUGGGACUAUACUAGGUACUUUCAGGUAGGGGUAAGGCCCGUCUACAUAUUACCCUCCCCAGACCCCACUUUGUGGGACUAUACUGGGUGGUAGUUGUUGUUGUUGUUGUUCUUUUUUACUAUAAGACAUUGUCAUUUGUAGACCACAAGAUACUAAGAUAUUUUGGCUACUAUACAUAUAUUUAGCAUGUGUCAAAAGUCUUGCCUUUUUUUACUUGAACUCAGUACCCUGUCAAACAUCAUAAUAUAAGAUGAAACAGAGGAAGUUAAUAAAAAUUGACCAAGGGCUAAAGUCAAUAACUAAUAUCAGGAAUGAGGUUCUAGUGGCUAAAAUUUCUUUUUCACCAUGGACAACAUCCAUGGGGAUCAAAACUUAUGAAUGCUACCUUUUACUAUAUUAAGUAAUUGCAUAAAUGAGUAAGACAAACUAUGGGCAGAUUGAAAAUGCAUGGCAUGCAUACUUCUGCUGCUCUAGGCCUUAAAAUCAAAAGUACCCGACAUACCUCCAUGAAACCAGCUAGACAACUCCACAUGCGAGGUACAAAUCUCGACUGCCUACUUAAUAGCACUCGGUCAUUCUCUUUGUCAAUAACUAACAUAAUGACAACCUGAUGCAAGAGCAAGAUGCCAAAACAGAGUUAGGAUUCUCAUGUAGCAUUUCAAUAUGUAAUUCCCACAGCCUCUUCCACAAAACAAAGAAAAACAGGGUAAACCAAACAAUAGUGCAACCACAAGCAACAUAAUUAAUCAGAGAGAAGAAAAUGAUUGACAUACUGGAUCAACUCGAGGAUAAAUUUUUUUCUUGCACAACUCAUUAGAGCAUUGUUUCCGUCUUCCAGCAUCAAUUAAAUUGUUCUUACCUCCACAAAAUCCACAAAAACGUGAUACCGUAUGCCAUUCUAGCAAUGAUCUGGCCUGGUAAAAUGCCAAAGCCGAAAAAGCAAAAUAUAGCAUCAGUCAAACACGGCCACCAAUUUUUAGCGUAAGUAUACUAAUAACUAACAACUAAAGCAAAAUGCUACUCAGUAGUCAGUACUCAAUAUUUGGAUAUGCACAGCUCAACAUUGACAAUGAUGCGGCAACUGUAACCCGAAUUCAUUUGCCAUUUAUCAGAAGAAGAAAAAAACUGAUGCUAGAUGGUUCUAUCAGGACUCUUGCACGCGUCACACCAUGUCUGCACUGCCUGAAACAACCAACCCUUAGAGCACUCUAAAUAUGACUUUGGUAAAGAAGCUCCCGCUUAGCCAUAGAUUUUGGCUUCAUUUUUUCAAGAAAAAAUUGAAAACAUUGUUUAGCUAUGAUCAUGUAUUGGAGGGGAAAAUUUCAAAAAUUUACAGGCAAAAUUUUUCUUCCACUCAAAACUUGAACUUUUCUUCAAAUAAAAUGCAUGUCUAAACACAGCAUCAACUUUCAAAAAUUAUUUUUCAAACCAACUUUAAAAAUUCUAUUUUCAAGUUUCAAUCAAAUCUAUGUCCAAAUGAUAGCUUAAGAUACUAAAGGUCAUAGGGAUUAGGGAUGUUAUCCCAGUAUAAAAUUUGGGAACAAAUUUGCCUAUUGUUUGAUUAUGGGUAUUGGCUAAAACCAGGAUAAAGUUAUGCCAAAAUCUUGGGAUUAUCCAUCCCAUAUAGGAGGUUCAAUUAUAAUCCUGGAUAACCUUGUCUUGAACCAACGACCCUAAAGUUUGAAAUGCACAUUUACAGUGUGACUUUAACUGCAUAACCAGGUUUGCAGUUCUAGAUAGAGAUUAGCAGCCAUUCUAAGCCUAGUUGCCACAUCUUUUUCGCCUACAAGAAUCUACAUAUCUAAAUAUAGAUAAAAUGAGCUACCUGAAAAAGAUACAUGGGUUUAAAAUACCGGCAGGCAGUGGCUAGUUUAUGAAUCUGCUUCAACUACCUUAAUAUGCCUAGUUAAUUCAGAUACCUACUAAUCACAUAUGCAGGCCGCUAGAACAGCUAUAGGUGAUCCAAUUCAACAAGAAAUGAUAAAAGAUGGAUUUUGUUGAAAUUGUAAUGCAAAGGCUGAAGUGAAAAGGGAAUACAUA